AUGGCAUUGUUGGACUGGAUUGAGUUGUCUGAUGACGAGGAGGUGGCAGUCAAAGAAAGACUUCCUCCAGAAAAAGUCAAAGAAGAAUUUCCUCCAAUAGAAGUCAAAGAAGAAUUUCCUCCCACAAUAGUGAAAGAAGAACUGGAUACUCAUGUACAUGGGACAGCUCAGUUGGAAGUAGAAAUUGUUGAUUUAACCACAGAAGAAGCUGACGUUGAAGAGGAUAGGAAUGCUCACGGGAAAGGGGACGCUGCUCAGGGGGCAACAACAUCACAUAGACAACAGUUUGUUGCACCUCAUGGACAAGGCGAGGCAGCUCAGACAGUGGUACCAAGACAAGAGUUUCUUGCUGCUGCUAAUGGUGUGGAAGAGUUUCUUGUAACAGGUAAUGUUGUGCAAGAGGCUAUGCAGUCUGGAAAUCAGGAUUUUGCUGCAGCUGUUGAUUGCACAGAAGAGGCCACGCAUUCUGAAAAUGCAGAUGAAGCUGGCCCAUCAUUAUUUACAGAACAAGGUGCUGCGGCAGGCGAUUGCGGUGAAGAGGCUAUGCAGUCUGGAAAUCAGGAUUUUGCUGCAGCAGUUGAUUGUGCAGAAGAGGUCAUGCAUUCUGAAAAUGCAGCUGAAGCUGUCCCAUCGUCGUUUACAGAGCAAGGUGCUGCGGCAGGCGAUUGCGAUGAAGAGGCUAUGCAGCCUGGAAAUCAGGAUUUUGCUGCAGCAGUUGAUUGUGCAGAAGAGGCCAUGCAGUCUGAAAAUGCAGCUGAAGCUGUCCCCUCGUCGUUUACAGGGCAAGGUGUUGCGGCAGGCGAUUGCAGUGAAGAAGCUAUGCAGCCUGGAAAUCAGGAUUUUUCUGCAGCAGUUGAUUGCGCAGAAGAGGCCAUGCAGUCUGAAAAUGCAGCUGAAUCUGGCCCAUCAUCGUUAACAGAACAAGGUGUUGUGGCAGGUUAUUGCAGCGAAGAAGCUAUGCAGUGUGGAAAUCAGGAUUUUGUUGCAGCAGUUGAUUGCACAGAAGAGGCCAUGCAGUCUGAGCAUGCAGCUGAAGCUGGCCCGUUAUUGUUUACUGGACAGGGUGUUGUGGCAGGCGAUUGCGGUGAAGAGGCUAUGCAGUCUGGAAAGCAGGAUUUUGUCGCAGCAGUUGAUUGCGCAGAAGAGGCUAUGCAUUCUGGAAAUGCAGUCGAAGCUGCCCCAUCAUCGUUUAUCGAAGGUGUAGCGGCAGGUGAUUUUGCUGAAGAGGCUAUGCGGUAUAACCAUGAAAACCAAGCUGCUCAAUGCUCGCUAAUGACAGGACAAGCUGCUGCAUCAUCCUUGUCAAUGACAGAACAAGGUGCUACUACAUCUUCACUAAGGACAGUGCAACAGAGUCACAAGAGAGAUGCAUUGCUAGGUUCCCCUCCCAUCUCAACCGCGGCGCCUUUUCCCCGGCAAUUCUGGAAGGCUGGGGAGUACAAGGUUGCUGCCCGAGCUUCCAUCAACAAUGGCCAGAACUGCUUAAGGAUUAAUCCCAAGUUUCUUCACUCGAAUGCUACGUCACACAAGUGGGUAUUUGGUGCUAUUGCAGAACUGCUCGACAACACUGUUGAUGAGGUGCAGAAUGGGGCAACCUAUGUGAAAAUAGAUAAAAUGAAAUAUUCUCCUGUCGGAGAGUAUUCAUUAAUGGUACAAGAUGAUGGAGGCGGUAUGAGUCCUGAGCAUCUUCGACAUUGUUUGAGCUUCGGAUUCUCCAAUAAAUGCACGAAUUCAUCAAUUGGACAAUAUGGAAAUGGCUUCAAAACCAGCACAAUGAGGCUUGGGGCAGAUGCUAUCAUAUUCAGCUGCAGAAAAGCUAAUAGAUUGACACGAAGUGUUGGGCUGCUCUCUUACACAUUCCUCAAAGGAACCGGCUGCAAUGACAUAUUAGUGCCUGUGGUUGACUAUGAAUUUGAUCCUUCAUCCCGCAAUUUCAAGAGGAUAAUGGACCGUGGUGAAAAACAUUUUUCUUCCAAUUUGUCCACUCUUCUGAGGUGGUCUCAAUUUUCUACAGAAGAUGAUUUAUUGAAUCAAUUUGAGGACAUGGGAUGCCAUGGCACAAAAAUUGUUGUAUCCAAAUUAUGGCUCAAUGAUGCGGAUGAAAUGGAGCUUGACUUUACAACUGAUGAUGAGGAUAUUAUGAUGUCAGGAGCGCCUAAGAUACCAGAAGAACGCGCGAAAGUGAAAAGGUUGAAUCAUAUGCAUAUUGCAAAUCGCUUCCGAUAUUCACUUCGUGUUUAUGCAUCUAUACUAUACCUUCGUCUACCAGAACACUUUAAAGUCAUCUUGUGUGGACGAACUGUUGAACCUCACCAUAUUAUAAAGGACCUCAUAUACUGUGAAUGUAUCAAAUAUCGACCACAAGUUGGAAUAAGCGUACAGGUUGAUGUCAUUACUUCAAUUGGCUUCUUAAAAGGUGCUCCAAACCUGGAUAUCUAUGGAUUUAAUGUCUACCAUAGGAACCGUCUUAUUCUGCCAUUUUGGGCUGCAGGCUCUGAAAGAGGUCGAGGCAGAGGCAUUGCUGGGGUUUUGGAGGCGAACUUUAUACGACCUACACAUGAUAAGCAAGAUUUUGAGAAGACGGAACUUUUUCAGAGACUUGAGAUGAGAUUAAAAGACAUGGCAAUGGAGUAUUGGAAGCACCAUGCUCAUUUGGUUGGCUACCGGCCACUCACAAAAUCUCUUCGUCCAGCAUAUUAUGCAUCUAUUGCUGCUACCAAUGAUAAUAGCUCAGUAGCCCAAGCUACAGCAACACCUUAUGCCAGGAACUCAAGAGCCAAAGCAUCUGGAGUAUUGAACUCCCGUUUCAAUGGAGGUAACUCAUUAAAUCCUUUGCACAUUGGUGCCUUGAGGGCUCAAAUGGACUAUGGUGCAUGUCCUUUAGCAAGGAAAAAUAUGAGGACUUCAUUAUAUAUGCCAAGCACACCGCAGCAAACUGAACUGUGCAAAAGAAGAAACUCUGGCUCGAUGAUUGAAACGAGGGCCCAGAAAAGGCACAACACAAAUGGCGAUGCUGACCACUUUGGAAGUGUCAAUGUUGUUGAGAUAGGAGAGGAAAGGAGCAGUCUCUUAAUUUGUCAGAACAUGAUGCUAAAGGCCGAGUGUUCCGAGCUCGAGGCGGCAGGACAGAUUCUCCGAAGCAAGGCGGACAGGUUGAUGGGUGAACUCCGCGAGUGGCAACGAAAGGGGAGGAGCCUGACGGACGAGUUGGAGUUCUACCACGGCCUCAGCGCGAUACAGCGCAGGAUGCCCAUCACCAGCACCUCUUCCCUGGGAGUGGGAUGGAUCUGA
rnacentral:rRNA from 1 species